rnacentral:rRNA from 1 species
CCUACGGGGGGCAGCAGUGGGGAAUAUUGCACAAUGGGCGAAAGCCUGAUGCAGCAACGCCGCGUGAGCGAUGAAGGCCUUCGGGUCGUAAAGCUCUGUCCUCCAGGAAGAUAAUGACGGUACGUGAGGAGGAAGCCCCGGCUAACUACGUGCCAGCAGCCGCGGUAAUACGUAGGGGGCUAGCGUUAUCCGGAAUUACUGGGCGUAAAGGGGGCGUAGGUGGUUUCUUAAGUCAGAGGUGAAAGGCUACGGCUCAACCGUAGUAAGCCUUUGAAACUGGGGAACUUGAGUGCAGGAGAGGAGAGUGGAAUUCCUAGUGUAGCGGUGAAAUGCGUAGAUAUUAGGAGGAACACCAGUUGCGAAGGCGGCUCUCUGGACUGUAACUGACACUGAGGCACGAAAGCGUGGGGAGCAAACAGGAUUAGAUACCCUUGUAGUC